ACCCCUAUAGUAUAGUAGUAAUAUACCUAGAGGCUUACGAUAGUCCGCGCGGGAGUUAGUUCGAACCCGGCUAGGGGUA
rnacentral:tRNA from 1 species